rnacentral:lncRNA from 10 species
GCAAAUACCACUUGUUCUCCUCUGCUGCCAUUUCUGUGACAGCAGUGUGCAGGACUGUUCUUUAAAUGAUUAUUUUCUGAUGGGAUAACAGCCAAACAAAAACUGUCAGCUAUUUCAUAUCCUUUCUGAAGCUAUUUAGAAAUACGAAUUAACAUCUAAUGUGAAGAUCUAUAAAUAUGGAAGAGACUGGGUUUCACCAUGUUGGCCUGGCUGGACUCGAACUCCUGACCUUGUGAUUCACUUGCCUCGGCCUCCCAAAGUGCUGGGAUUACAGGCGUGAGCCACCACGCCCUGCCAAAAAAGGACUAAUUGCUGUGUUCCUAAUACAUGUAGAAUCUGAAUGGAAAAUAUCCCAAGGCAACUGGCAUGAAACUGGACUUUCAGAAAUUUCACUUUUUAAAAAUUUAGAUAGAUUUUUUAAAAAUUUCCACCUCCACCAAAGCAGUCUUAAUGUUUACUACACAUUUAUACUUGCAAAAUGCAAGCUCAUAUACUGUAAUGACUCUGUUUUUUGUUGUUGUCAUCUUAUGUAGCAGUCAGAUGAUUCUAGCACAUUGUCAAGAUUCAGAUUUAAAAUUUUAAAUUAAGAAACCUACAAAAGAUAUUAAUUAGUGGAAAUACACCAAUAGUCUUUCAACUUCAGCAAGUAAUUAUGUUUCCAAUUUUGGAGAAAAUAUGUAAUUUUUAAUCUAUAGGAGUUUUAAAAGUUGGAUGGGAGCAUGCAUGCCCUUCUUGCCAACAAAUACAUUUUAACUUAAAGAUGGAAAAUACAGAAUGUUUGGAAAAUUCUUGUGACAGUCACUCUAACGAAGGUAUCAUCCUUGCUUGUUGUUGUCACCAGUGAAUGUAUCGUACAUGAGGUAGAAAGUUGUGACUAAAAACUACCUCUGGUCCACCUACUCUGUUCCAGAGGAAGUAAUACUUCCUUCCCUACUUUGAGGAAGUCAUUCAGUUUUGAUACCAUGCUUUGCAUGUAAAUCUCUCUCUAUUGGAUCCUCAUCCAAGUGGUCAGAGGGAUGCUUGUUUGGUUGUUAAAAGAAAUUUUUGAAAAAUAAGGUAGAGAGCAGAAUUAUUUUAGAUAACAUCUGAAUGCCUGGGAGAGAAAAUAAAGGCACAGUUAUCUCUCUGCUUUUGUCUCCGUCUCUUGGUGUCCUGAAAUAUCCAUCUCAUUAUAAAGAAAAGAAUCAAAUUAAGGAAUAAACACAAGAAGAGUCAUCAUUUCUAACAUUGCCAAGUCCUAAGACAGCAAUAUGCUCUACUAAAUUAUAUAUUUUUAAUUUAAUUUCUUUAAAAGUAAAAUUUGCUAUUUUGAUGUCAAAAAUACAAAACAAAUACAAAAAUGUUUGUUACAAGGAUGUCUCAUUCAAGUUGUAAAUAGAGGUGGACAAACUGAGUUUUUUUCCUUUCAAUCACAUUGAUUAUUUUCUUCUACUUUAUUUUUACUAAAUUGAAUGCCUUGAUCUUGAGUGUUUCUUAAAGUUCAUCUUAAAAAUGAAACAAUUUUGUUUUUAUUCCUUUGCAUAGUCAGAAAGUUUUUAGAGGGAGAAAAAGUAUAAAAUCUGGCAUUGAAGGGUAGCCUCCCUCAAAGACAUGAAUAAUGUUGUAUUUUAAACAGGAUGAUCUAGAUGUGAAAAGGCCUUAAAGGGUAGAGGGAUGCCCCAAAUCAGAAGGCUUUUGGGGGGUCUCCCAAGAAGGUCAGAAGCAUUGAAUGUGUAAUAAGCGGGGGCCACUACAGCAACCAUUAUCUUCCCUCUGACAGAGCGGCUCACUGACCUGGCAUGCUGGCAAAUGGAGAGGAAAACUCUCCACCGAGAUGUAAAUUCCCCAUACUGGUCCCUCAUGAAUAUCUUGUCUCCAGGAUUCAAGCCAGUGACCUGGAAAACAAGGUUCCUCCCCAAUCAAAAUGACAGGCAGAGCUGGUUUCUUGUUAGGAAGACUACAAGGUGUGUAAAAAAAUUAUGAUUUCUGAGGGAAAAAAAAUGAGAUGUCACACAGAGCAAAAUAUUACUUUCAAAUGGUCCUCUGCAGUUCUUUUGAAUGGCAGCUGUUAAGAAUUCAAUUGUGUGUAUGACACACUGGAAUCCAGAAUGGAAGUUCUGUUGGGGGGCAGGAAUGAAUAGAAAUUUUCAAUUUAAAUACUCAUUUGAGAUUAUUUGAAUAUCUGUCAUUCUUUUUAGCCUAAAGGUUAAUUCUUGAAGAAAUAAUUUCCAUUAGUAACACAAAUUCCAACCUUGUCAAGUCCUCUUAUGUAAUGCAUCAGUGCUGAAAGGCAUACUCUUGCAAAACUGAACCUUUAUAUAUGUAAUCUUGGUUUGUAGACAAUGUUUUCCUACAGAAGUUUCAUUGAUUUAUCAGUUAUUUGUUUAUAGAGGAUUCAUUAAGGUAUGUUUACUUUUACUGAUAAUAUAAAAAAUCAUGAAUCAAGUAUUAAAAUGUAGAAACUAUUGAAAUUAUAAAAAAU